rnacentral:misc_RNA from 1 species
CGCGCGUCUGUCGCCGCCCCUCUCAGCCUUACCUCUUGCUCGCCUCGCGCCUGGAGGGUGAGAUGCCCAUCGCAUUGCUCGGACCUCUACACACGUCCUUUUCUCCGCGAGCUGUCUGUGGGCCAUGAGCGUGGAGGAGAACGUCACCCGCGCACUAGCGGACACUUUUCGGACAUGCUCGGAAUUCAUUGGAGCCGUCUCCGCACGCGAGAUGCCGGAUAACCCCAGCGUACAGUUGUGCAUCCUCAGCAUCGGUUUCGAUGUUGAGGGCGCCAUCGCGCAGCUGCUGCACCAGCGCAUGGCUCGGAACAAGCCACACCGACGUGUUUACUGCGUGGUCGUCCCCGGCCGCCUUCUUCCCGGGGCGAUGACACGCUUCGCCAGCGCCAUUGAGCAUCACCUGGCGCUGAGGCACGCGGGGGAGACAUUAACGCGUCAAGCCGAUGCAUCAGCUGCAGCGGCGUCCUGUCUGGCGCCUCCUAUUCCGGUGGUUGCUGUUGAAGAGGGCACGGGCACCAAGGAGCGCUGCGCGGUGUUUCAGCGCGGGGCGGUGGUGGUUCUUACCAGUCACUCUCUGUGCGCCGAUCUGCUGCACCGGCGGCUAGCGGUGGAGCUGGUUGGAAUGGCUGUGCUGGCGUUGCCGCAUUCACUGCUGGGCAGCGGCCGACAAGAAGAUGCGCUGGCGCCGCAGACGGCCUUCUGCGCUGAGCUGCUGCUGCGUAGUGGCAGCGGUGCGGCUGGCGGGCAGAGACCCCCGCCCAUUGUCCUUGUCUCGGAUGCGCCGGUGCUCAUGCGGAGUCUUGUACAACGGCAUCACUUGGGGGCGGAGCGGUUUGUGCAGCAGAUGCACGUUGGUGACGUUCAGCUGUUCCCGCGAUUUCGCCUGGACUUUGUGCGGCACUUUGAGGAGCUCAGUCGCAGCCCGCGGCGUUCAUUGGCUGUGGACCGUGUUGUGGCUCCCGUAUCGGCGAGCGUCUUGGCCCUGGACGAUCUCCUCGCGAAGAUUGUGUUGGAGACGCUGCAGGAGCUGCAGCGAUUGGAGAAGCAGCUUCACAUGCAGAAGAGCGCCAGCGGUGGCGACCGCGCCGCCUGGGCCUCGGAUGCGGGGGGCUCACACCCUCACACGCGGUCCUUUGCGGCUCGGUGUGCUGCGGCUGCGGCAGAAGCCGACGAGGAUACCGACGCGCUCCGCUUCCUGCCGCGUGCCAGGCUCACGGCAAGUACCGCAAAAGACCAUCUCGACUACAGCGGCUACCCGCGCAGCAACACGGCCAGGGGCACCAGUGCUGCAUCGUACAUCCGCCACGGCUGGCGUGCAGCGACGCAGUGCGACGACAAGGGCAUUCUCUUUAGCGGCAUCAGCGAGACGGCGGCUCUCUCGGUGGACUUCUCCGACCUCGACGGCGAUCUUCGCGCGGUGGUGCGCUGUCACGAGUCUCACUGGCCAUACCGCCUCCUCACGGAAAGUCUCAUCGACGUGCGGCGACUGCGCCGUGCUGCGCGUGGAACUGCGUACACGUUUCUUCUCGAGCUGGAGUCCGUGCUGGAGCGCCGACUGCCCCGGCGCAGCGUCUACGGCACCGGCACAACGCCACCUGCCGCGCUGUGGACUCUCUCUUCUCACUUCCACGACGUUGUAACGGUCGCAACACACCGCAUCGGGACCGUGGUGUACAAACGCAGUGCUGCCUCCGUCGCGCUCUCCACCCCUACGAAAGGUGAGGCGACGCGUCCUGCGAGCUCUGCUGAAGAUGUGGUCGUGGUGGUGGACAGCAACAGCGACAGCGAGGAGAAGCGCGAGGGGCUACAGGAUGUCGUCUCGACCUCUGCCACUGCCGCGCCGCCCGGCCAGGUGGCGACCUCGGCGGGUCGCACAAUGGUGCCUCAGCUCAUACCCAAUGUGGAGGAGCACGAAACAGACGUGGAGGUGGUGGUGCGGCUGGUGGUGAGCUGGUGUCGCACAGUGUUGCGCCGUGCCGAACGCAAAGGCAACGCCGCGACCGAUGCUUCAGCAGCUCAACCCACCCUCCUGCUUCUUACUCUCGGCCCCAACGCCGUCGUGCGCUACACGGAGCGCCUCACAAACUCGCUGGAGGCUUACCAGCAACUGCAGCUUCGGCGCUUCAUGCGGGUGUACCAGUCCAAGUACGGCGUGGAGUUGACUGAGUUCGUCGAGGCCCAGUCAGCAGAGGUUGCGGCGCCGCAGCUGGCUACAGAACUCUUCACCAGCACCGAGGACGUUGAUGACGCCUCCAGCGACGCGGAGGGAGACGUGACGACGGACGAGGACAACGGCACUGAUGGCCGCAGGGAUUUGCGUGCCGCUGCCUCCCUGAGGCGGCGUAUGUCGAGUCAGGGCGGUCGUGCCACCGCCGUCACACGGCGCGAUGCAAGCCCAUCGUACGCUAAUGGAAGCAGUAGCAGCCAGAGGGUGAUGAUGGACAUCGGCGCAGGCGCCUUCCACCAAGCCCUUCUCUCACAGCUGCCACCGCUCCUCACCAGAAGCGGCGAGAGGGCCGACGUGAGGUGCGACAGUGAGCCUCAACCUGCACCACCGGCUUCCCUUGCCACGCCGCUGCUCAUGCUUGAGAGAGUCAGGGAGGGGGUUGUGACGCUCUGCCCCGGCUGCCGUGGCGCCAGCGGGGACGGCAGCGCCACCGUCCCCUCUCCUUUCGAGCGGAUGCCACGCGUGCUGGUGUUCGACGCAUCCGCGAUGUCGGCAACGGAGAUGACCAUGCUGCUGGAUGGCUCACACGCUGCUCUGCAACUUGAUGUCCCGUCGACGGCAGCGCCGCGGAUGUCUGGCGCGCCCACCAACGGUCCCAAGGGGACUGACAGCGUCAGGACCUCCCUGCGCGUUGAGCGCGUUGUGUUGGCGCGCCAGGAGCUGGCGCUUCUCCGUCAGCUUGAGAUGGCGCAGGACGAGCUGCCGGCGGAGCGGCUUUCCACUAUCAAGGUGCAGCUCAUCACGACCAGCCUAGCGGAGCUGGACUUCAAGAAGGCAGUGCAGGCGGAGCAGCAGGCCUUCGAGAGCCUCGCGCACACGAAAGCCACACUGACCGGGACGCUGCUCGUUGACCAGACGUCGUUGCGGCAGACAGAGGAGGCGUUGGAGAGUGGCAUGCAGGUUGCGCGGAGUCGUCUUGGCCCGCGCAAGGGUACGGCGGUGGGGCGAUUGGCUGGGACCUUCUUGUACGCGCCUGCCCUUCCGCCCCCGGCGCUGCCGCGCGUCGUGUUUGAUGAGCGUGAGUUCCGCUCCUCGCUGCCGUACCACCUUUACCGUCGCGGAAUGGAGCUCAUCCCUCUGACACUGACGACGGCCGACUACGUCCUCUCCCCUGAGUACGCGGUCGAGCGUAAAAGUGCGCAGGAUUACUUCCAGUCUGUUAUGUCGGGCCGCAUUCAGCGUCAGCUGGCGGCGCUCGCCCGCAAGUAUGCGCACCCGUUGUGUCUCAUAGAGUUCCACCGCGGCAUUCCGUUCCGGCUGAUGCAGAGCGGCAUCUACGCCAAGACGGCGGCACUCAUGGCGGCCUACCCGCGCGUCCGCUUUGUGUGGGCACGCAGCCCUGCGCAUGCGGCGGGUAUGCUGGUGCUCUUGAAGAAGUCCGUCGCGGUCGCCAACGUGGACCCGGCCGAUCCGUUGCUCACAGGCACCUCCAUUGACCCCGGUAGCGCGGCGGACGUGGGCGGCGUGGCGGUCACCGCGGCGGAGCGGGAGACGGCGCAUUACGCGGCACGCGUUCUGUCCAAGUUUCCGGGCAUCACCCACCAGAAUGCGCCCCGUGUGAUGCAGCUCUGCGGCUCGCUGAUCGGACUUGCGACGAUCUCGAAGUCCUCGCUGGUGGCGGUCAUGGGUGAGGAGGACGCAGCGCGGCUGUACAACUUUCUCCAUUCCCCCUUCCAUUAGGAAGUGGACUGAUGCCCUCUUCAUAGCCUCCUUUCCCAAGAGAGGAUGGGAUGGCGUGGGGUGGGUGGAGGCGAGUGGGAUGGAACGGAUGCUUGCGGUGCACAGUGUCGAGCAUCUCGCCCACAUGAUUUCCUGUUGCAGUGUGCACAAGCGUACACAGGCACGCAAGCCACUGCGCUCUGAAGUGGCAUUUCACAAGCGCAAAGCAGCAAAAAAAAAAUGAUGUGUGGGCGAGGCGGCGGCG